UACGGAGGGUGCAAGCAUUGAUCGGAAUUACUGGGCGUAAAGGGCGCGUAGGCGGUAGGAUAAGUCAGAUGUGAAAUUCCGCAGCUCAACUGCGGAGCUGCAUUUGAAACUAUCCAACUAGAGCAUAGCUAGGGAAAACGGAAUUCCACAUGUAGCGGUGAAAUGCGUAGAUAUGUGGAGGAACACCGGUGGUGAAGACGGUUUUCUGGGCUAUAGCUGACGCUGAGGCGCGAAAGCUAGGGGAGCAAACAGG
rnacentral:rRNA from 1 species